rnacentral:lncRNA from 1 species
GUAAGUAUUAACAAACUCGGUACGUGUUUGUUAUUGUCAAUAAUAUCUUUAAAUUGUACAACUCGCUUAUGUUUGACAAUUACUGAGUAAUUGCUUUGCUUAUUGCAUGCUAAUUGCUGAAAAUUGCUUUUUAUUUUAAAUUCCUUAGUUAAAAAUUGCUUUUUCUUUCACAUUUCUCUGCUUAUUGAAUGACUAUUGCUAACUCAUUAGAUAGAACCUACUUCUCAUAUAAGUAGGUGGAUGCGGCCUCGAUUAGCGGGGGAACCACAUGAAAAAAAGCGAGCUACUGGGUGUACCUCCUGGGUAGUUUGGAAAUCACCUAAAAUAUAUAUGUAUAUAUUUAUAAAUAAAAGUUAAUAUAUAUAAAUUAACAUUAUUAUUUUUUAACAGGAAAUGCACAAUGCUAAAAACUGCGUAGGAGAUUUUAAUACAAUAGUACUACCAAGCCUGAUGUUGGCCGCUAUUUCAAUGAAUGCAGCAAUGUGACAGCUAGCAAUCAAAAGUAACAAGAUAUCGAGGAAAUGCAGAUGGCAAUAAACUGUGUAGGAGUUCAUGAUUGCAAUAGAAUAAAAUCGACCAAGCCUGAAGUCAGCAGCCCCUUCAAUGAAUGCAGCAGUGUGACAGCCAGCAAUCAAAAGUUACAAGAUAUCGAGGAAAUGCAGAAGGCAAAAAACUGCGUAGGAGAUCAUUAAUACAAUAGUAUUAUAUAAACCAAGCCUGAUGUUGGCCGCUCAUUCAAAGAAUGCAGCAGUGUGACAGCCAGCAAUCAAAAGUAACAAGAUGUCGAGGAAAUGCAGAGUGUAAUAAACUGUGUAGGAGAUUAUGAUUGCAAUAGAAUAAAAUCG